CACCGCCCGUCACACCAUGGGAGUGGGUGAUACCAGAAGCCGGUAGCAUAACCGAAAGGAGUGCGCCGACCACGGUAUGAUUCAUGACUGGGGUG
rnacentral:rRNA from 1 species